rnacentral:ncRNA from 2 species
GCCCUCACCUCGGGGUGCCCGUGUCUGACACGGCUGAGAUGCACACUGCGAACCCGUUGAACCUGAACCGGCUAACACCGGCGGAGGGAAGGUAUCAGCACUUUAC